rnacentral:rRNA from 1 species
CCCUUAGAUGUUCUGGGCCGCACGCGUGCUGCACUGAGUGGAUCAGCGGGCCAGGUUGCGCGAAAGUGUUUCCUAAUCUUGAAAUCCGCUCGUGAUGGGGAUUGACGGUUGCAAUUUUCCGUCAUGAACGAGGAAUACCUUGUAAGCGCGGGUCAUCAUCCCGCGCUGAAUACGUCCCUGCCCUUUGUACACACCGCCCGUCGCUCCUACCGAUUGAGUGGUCCGGUGAGGCUUUGGGAUCUGAGCGGAAAGAGCGUUUCGCUGUUUCUGCUCGGAAAACUCAGUCGAACCUUAUCAUUUAGAGGAAGGGGAAGUCGUAACA